UGACCGGACACCCUUCCAUACCUCCUUGCAUUCGGGAACGUCUAAGUCCUCGUCCCUCCUCCGUUUGCUGUGCAUCUCCUACUGUGCUCUCUACAGAAUGUAAUUUAUUGGGGCACCCUCUGCUGCUUCCUUUCCCUGACUCCUUGCCCUACCUAAUUGCACUUCCAGUCCUGUCUGUCCACAUAUGUACAUGUAUAUAAUUAUACAUAUAUAUAUAUAUAUCUAUUUUGCCCAGAUCUGGGUUUCGUUUUUACCCAGACCCCGGCACUCCCUGUCCACUGUGUGUGAGAUCAUACUAGGAGGGGUAACUGCUUGGAAUUAAAAGGUUGCACUGGGUCCCU
rnacentral:lncRNA from 1 species